AUCCAGCUGAAGAGUCCCAAAUAUAACGAAACGCGUUUCCUGGAU
rnacentral:hammerhead_ribozyme from 1 species